rnacentral:rRNA from 1 species
GUGGCAGACGGGUGAGUAACAUGUAGGUAUCUGCCCUUUGGCCUGGAAUAACACGAGGAAACUUGUGCUAAUACCGGAUAAGUCUUUACGGAGAAAGCUUUAUGCACCAUUGGAUGAGCCUGCACUUGAUUAGUUUGUUGGUAGGGUAAUGGCCUACCAAGACUGUGAUCAAUAGCUGAUUUGAGAGGAUGAUCAGCCACAUUGGGACUGAGACACGGCCCAAACUCCUACGGGAGGCAGCAGUGGGGAAUCUUGCACAAUGGAGGAAACUCUGAUGCAGCGAUGCCGCGUGAGUGAAGAAGGCCUUUGGGUUGUAAAGCUCUUUCGUCGGGGAAGAAAAUGACUGUACCCGAAUAAGAAGGUCCGGCUAACUUCGUGCCAGCAGCCGCGGUAAUACGAAGGGACCUAGCGUAGUUCGGAAUUACUGGGCUUAAAGAGUUCGUAGGUGGUUGAAAAAGUUGGUGGUGAAAUCCCAGAGCUUAACUCUGGAACUGCCAUCAAAACUUUUCAGCUAGAGUAUGAUAGAGGAAAGCAGAAUUUCUAGUGUAGAGGUGAAAUUCGUAGAUAUUAGAAAGAAUACCAAUUGCGAAGGCAGCUUUCUGGAUCAUUACUGACACUGAGGAACGAAAGCAUGGGUAGCGAAGAGGAUUAGAUACCCUCGUAGUCCAUGCCGUAAACGAUGUGUGUUAGACGUUGGAAAUUAAUUUUCAGUGUCGCAGCGAAAGCGAUAA